ACUGCACAUCUGGCAGACAAAAGAAAAUCCCAUGAGUUGGAGAUGUGUAAGCUGAGAGUAGAGUGGCAAAAGAGAUGAACUGACCAAGGAGAGGGACUAUUUAAAAGAGCAACUGGUGUCAGCUCUUAAAAGAGAGGACACAGGUUCCAGCCAGGCGAUUCCCUUGUCUUCAGAUUCCUCUCAUGACAGCUCAGAUGAAUCUUCCUCUGAUACUGUGUCUGACUCCUCUACAUCCUCAGAGGAGGACAGGAAGAAAAAGAGGACGAAAAAAGGGGAAAGGAAAAAGCAUGGGAAGAAGUCAAAGAAAAUGGAAAAGAAGACACGUCAGAGAGCCCAAACACCACAGCAAGUGGUGGCCCGAUACAAAAAUAUUCUCCGGCACUUCAGUAGAGGAGGGACCAUGUCAGCUGCUUUCAAACAUGCUGGCGUGGACCGGAACACGGUAGUGGUCAAUGCUCCAAUCGCAGAGCUUUACAUAGCUGCACCUGACAAGUAUAAGGAACUCCUUAAAAACCACAGCAGUCAGGUUAAACUUAGUGCAUUUGCCACACAGUGUGCUGCUGUAAUUCAGGAGGAUCCAGCUGUACAAGAUACUAUCAAAGCCUUUAAGGCUUCCGGUAAGCUGCUGCCCCUAAAACGAAAGUGAACUGACCGAGGAUCUGGGGAAGUUUUCACACUAAGUCUUACAAAAUCAAAUUAAAGUUUUACAGUGAACUGAAAUCCAUCCACAAUCUGCACUGCUGUUCUGUAAUGUUUUAAAGUUAGUACUGAGGUAGUUUUGAAAUAUUUUAUAAUAUUAUUGUUUUAUAAAAAAUGUUUUUUUGUUGUAUUUUAUAAUCCAGUGUUGGCACUGGUAAAUUUACAUUCAGCAAUGUUUGCACUUUACAGAAAUGUAUUUUUAUAUCUGAUUGCAGAGUCCUAGUUGCAUUUUACUGCACAGGUGUGCAGGAAUUUUUAUUUUUCUAUGACAUUGCAUAGGUUUAUUUUUCAUUUUAUAUAUCAAUUCAUUUUAUGUUAAUUUAUGUGUUCAGUUGUACAAUUUUAUUUUUGCAGAGGUUUAUUUUAUUUAUUUAUUUUGUAUUCAAUAUGUACAGUUGUACAGUUUCAUUUCUUUUGCAUCUUGAAAUAAAUAUUUCUAUGUCCUGUAUCCCUCUGUGUUGUUUUUCCUUUUUCUGUUUAGAAGAUAACUGAGUCUUUAACUCUCAUUUGUAAAUGCUUUACAAGGCAUAAAUAGUCCUCACUUUAGAUGAGCUCACAAAAAUAGUUAACUGACAACUAGUAAAUGUUUUAUAACUACCUGAAUUAAUCAUGAAUUACAGCAGAAAUGUGUGUUAAUAAAUCAUUUAUUAAAACACUGAGUAACUGUUACUAUAUGUCUGAAUAAUAAGAUGUAUAAAUGUGCAUUCAAAGAGUUUAUUAAUCAUUUACUAACACUUUCUAAACGAUCUCAUGAGCCACUGACAACUCCUAACUAACUGGUUUGUAAGUAAUGUAAUCCUUAAUUUAGAAAUGAUGAAUUUAUCCUUAAUAAAGUAUUAAAAUAUGAUUAUUAAGCAUAUUAUAUAUAUGCUUAUAAAUCAAGAAUAAAGCAUUUAUAGCUGUAUUUAUAAACUGCUUACUAAUGUCUAUUAAUGUG